rnacentral:SRP_RNA from 2 species
GCCGGGUGUGGUGGCGGGCACCUGUAAUCCCAGCUACUCGGGAGGCUGAGGCAGGAGAAUUUCUUGAACCCGGGAGGCAGAGGUUGCAGUGAGCAGAGAUAGCACCACUGCACUCCCACUUGGGUGACAAAGCGAGACUCUGUCUCAA